GUCCCAGCAGCGCAGUGGAUAGCGCAUUGGACUUCUAAUCCGAAGGUUGUGGGUUCGAGUCCCACCUGGGGUG